rnacentral:rRNA from 12 species
UUCGGCGGCCAUAGCGAGAGGGAAACGCCCGGUCACAUUCCGAACCCGGAAGCUAAGACUCUCUGCGCCGAUGGUACUGCAGGGGGGACCCUGUGGGAGAGUAGGACACCGCCGGAC